CCUACGGGAGGCAGCAGUGGGGAAUAUUGCACAAUGGGGGAAACCCUGAUGCAGCGACGCCGCGUGAGUGAAGAAGUAAUUCGUUAUGUAAAGCUCUAUCAGCAGGGAAGAAAAUGACGGUACCUGAGUAAGAAGCCCCGGCUAACUACGUGCCAGCAGCCGCGGUAAUACGUAGGGGGCAAGCGUUAUCCGGAUUUAAUGGGUGUAAAGGGAGCGCAGACGGCAGUGCAAGUCUGGAGUGAAAGGCGGGGGCUCAACCCCCGGACUGCUCUGGAAACUGUACGGCUGGAGUGCGGGAGGGGCAGGCGGAAUGCCUGGUGUAGCGGUGAAAUGCGUAGAUAUCAGGAGGAACUCCGGCGGCGAAGGCGGCCUGCUGGACCGCGACUGACGUUGAGGCUCGAAAGCGUGGGUAUCGAACAGGAUUAGAUACCCCAGUAGUC
rnacentral:rRNA from 1 species